GUCUACGGCCAUGCUACCCUGAACAAGCCCGAUCCCGUCUGAUCUCAGAAGCUAAGCAGCGUCGGGCUUGGUUAGUACUUGGAUGGGAGACCACCUAGGAAAACCAAGUGUUGUAGGCA
rfam:Pteropus alecto contig43309, whole genome shotgun sequence.